UACGUAGGGUGCAGGCGUUAAUCGGAAUUACUGGGCGUAAAGCGUGCGCAGGCGGUCUUUUAAGUCAGAUGUGAAAUCCCCGAGCUUAACUUGGGAAUUGCGCUCGAAACUACGAUGCUCGAGUGUGGCAGAGGAAGGUGGAAUUCCACGUGUAGCGGUGAAAUGCGUAGAGAUGUGGAGGAACACCGAUGGCGAAGGCAGCCUUCUGGGCCAACACUGACGCUCAUGCACGAAAGCGUGGGGAGCAAACAGG
rnacentral:rRNA from 1 species